rnacentral:rRNA from 1 species
AAAUUGAAGAGUUUGAUCAUGGCUCAGAUUGAACGCUGGCGGCAGGCCUAACACAUGCAAGUCGAACGGUAACAGGAAACAGCUUGCUGUUUCGCUGACGAGUGGCGGACGGGUGAGUAAUGUCUGGGAAACUGCCUGAUGGAGGGGGAUAACUACUGGAAACGGUGGCUAAUACCGCAUAACGUCGCAAGACCAAAGAGGGGGACCUUCGGGCCUCUUGCCAUCGGAUGUGCCCAGAUGGGAUUAGCUAGUAGGUGGGGUAACGGCUCACCUAGGCGACGAUCCCUAGCUGGUCUGAGAGGAUGACCAGCCACACUGGAACUGAGACACGGUCCAGACUCCUACGGGAGGCAGCAGUGGGGAAUAUUGCACAAUGGGCGCAAGCCUGAUGCAGCCAUGCCGCGUGUAUGAAGAAGGCCUUCGGGUUGUAAAGUACUUUCAGCGGGGAGGAAGGGAGUAAAGUUAAUACCUUUGCUCAUUGACGUUACCCGCAGAAGAAGCACCGGCUAACUCCGUGCCAGCAGCCGCGGUAAUACGGAGGGUGCAAGCGUUAAUCGGAAUUACUGGGCGUAAAGCGCACGCAGGCGGUUUGUUAAGUCAGAUGUGAAAUCCCCGGGCUCAACCUGGGAACUGCAUCUGAUACUGGCAAGCUUGAGUCUCGUAGAGGGGGGUAGAAUUCCAGGUGUAGCGGUGAAAUGCGUAGAGAUCUGGAGGAAUACCGGUGGCGAAGGCGGCCCCCUGGACGAAGACUGACGCUCAGGUGCGAAAGCGUGGGGAGCAAACAGGAUUAGAUACCCUGGUAGUCCACGCCGUAAACGAUGUCGACUUGGAGGUUGUGCCCUUGAGGCGUGGCUUCCGGAGCUAACGCGUUAAGUCGACCGCCUGGGGAGUACGGCCGCAAGGUUAAAACUCAAAUGAAUUGACGGGGGCCCGCACAAGCGGUGGAGCAUGUGGUUUAAUUCGAUGCAACGCGAAGAACCUUACCUGGUCUUGACAUCCACAGAACCUUGUAGAGAUACGAGGGUGCCUUCGGGAACUGUGAGACAGGUGCUGCAUGGCUGUCGUCAGCUCGUGUUGUGAAAUGUUGGGUUAAGUCCCGCAACGAGCGCAACCCUUAUCCUUUGUUGCCAGCGGUCCGGCCGGGAACUCAAAGGAGACUGCCAGUGAUAAACUGGAGGAAGGUGGGGAUGACGUCAAGUCAUCAUGGCCCUUACGACCAGGGCUACACACGUGCUACAAUGGCGCAUACAAAGAGAAGCGACCUCGCGAGAGCAAGCGGACCUCAUAAAGUGCGUCGUAGUCCGGAUUGGAGUCUGCAACUCGACUCCAUGAAGUCGGAAUCGCUAGUAAUCGUGGAUCAGAAUGCCACGGUGAAUACGUUCCCGGGCCUUGUACACACCGCCCGUCACACCAUGGGAGUGGGUUGCAAAAGAAGUAGGUAGCUUAACCUUCGGGAGGGCGCUUACCACUUUGUGAUUCAUGACUGGGGUGAAGUCGUAACAAGGUAACCGUAGGGGAACCUGCGGUUGGAUCACCUCCUUACCUUAAAGAAGC